rnacentral:rRNA from 1 species
GCACAAUGGGCGCAAGCCUGAUGCGAGCCAUGCCGCGUGUAUGAAGAAGGCCUUCGGGUUGUAAAGUACUUUCAGCAGUGAGGAAGGUGGAUAUGUUAAUAGCAUAUUCAUUUGACGUUAGCUGCAGAAGAAGCACCGGCUAACUCCGUGCCAGCAGCCGCGGUAAUACGGAGGGUGCGAGCGUUAAUCGGAAUUACUGGGCGUAAAGCGCAUGCAGGUGGUUUGUUAAGUCAGAUGUGAAAGCCCGGGGCUCAACCUCGGAAUUGCAUUUUGAAAACUGGCAAACUAGAGUACUGUAGAGGGGGUAGGAAUUUCAGGUGUAGCGGUGAAAUAGCGUAGAGAUCUGAAGGAAUACCGGUGGCGAAGGCGGCCCCCUGGACCAGAUACUGACACUCAGAUGCGAAAGCGUGGGGAGGCAAACAGGAUUAGAUACCCUGGUAG